rnacentral:lncRNA from 1 species
UAACUGAAGAGUUUGUACACACAGAACCAGCUGUAAUUAUCUUUUUAUUUUACAAGUACUUGGAGCUGUGAAACAUUGGAAAAUAAUCAAAGAAAAAAAUCUAUAUUUAUGCUGCUUCUAAAUGGAUCCCUUGUUGAAGUGUGGGUUGACAGCUGUUCCAGGAAUCAGUGCCUGGAUGAAUUAGGAUGAUGUUGACUGCUGUUUGUCUUGGUGUCUCAACUGUGUACCAACUUCCUCAGCAAAACAUAGAACAGGCAAUUACAUGGAACUACCAUGAUGAAUAAAAAUAAACUGAUUCAUGAAUUUCUGGAAGUAGUUUCAAGAGGUGAUGUGGAACUCAUCUGUGACCAUAUUGCUAAAGUCCAUUCCAUCCUUGGAAACCUUGACUUUCAGCAUCCAAAGACUGGGAAUACACCUCUCAUUACUGCAGCAGAAGAAAAUCUAACAGAGGUUGUUGGAUUUCUUCUGGAAAAGGGAGCAGAUAUCACCCUGUGUAAUUACAGCAAUCAAACCGCAGUCCAUGUGGCUAAUUGUGAUGUCCAAAGACAACUCUUGGCCAUCAAUGGAAUCCAAGCUCCCCAAAUGCAACUUCUGCAAAGCUCAUGGCAAGGUGAUCUUGAACAACUUCAACACUU